AUUGAACGCUGGCGGCAGGCUUAACACAUGCAAGUCGAGCGGGGUGAUGGUGCUUGCACUAUCACUUAGCGGCGGACGGGUGAGUAAUGCUUAGGAAUCUGCCUAUUAGUGGGGGACAACAUUUCGAAAGGAAUGCUAAUACCGCAUACGUCCUACGGGAGAAAGCAGGGGAUCUUCGGACCUUGCGCUAAUAGAUGAGCCUAAGUCGGAUUAGCUAGUUGGUGGGGUAAAGGCCUACCAAGGCGACGAUCUGUAGCGGGUCUGAGAGGAUGAUCCGCCACACUGGGACUGAGACACGGCCCAGACGCCUACGGGAGGCAGCAGUGGGGAAUAUUGGACAAUGGGCGGAAGCCUGAUCCAGCCAUGCCGCGUGUGUGAAGAAGGCCUUAUGGUUGUAAAGCACUUUAAGCGAGGAGGAGGCUACUUUAGUUAAUACCUAGAGAUAGUGGACGUUACUCGCAGAAUAAGCACCGGCUAACUCUGUGCCAGCCGCCGCAGUAAAAC
rnacentral:rRNA from 1 species